rnacentral:lncRNA from 1 species
CAAAAUGUCACUAAUGCGUUCUUUUGGGGUUCAGAAUUCACUGCUUCCAUCUUCCAGAAAUCUGUGCUAAAGCAUAUGGAAUGUGUCUGUGGGAGACAUCCUUCCUGGGAACACUUCAGUGGAGGACAUCUUAUUCAACCGAUGAAAUAACAGAGGGCUGUAAACACUGGAAAGAGAGGAGAUAUUGAACAAAGACCUGGAGAGGUCAGUUCCAGAGAAGAAAGCGAAGGAA